UUAGAAAAAUAAAUACAACUGUAUUUCAUUUCAAAAUAACAAAUUACAUAAUUUAGGAAAUUUCUAUUGAUAAGAAAUCCAGUAACAUUAGAAAAAUAACAUUCAGAUCAUGAGACGUAACUGUCUCUCGUACUUCUCUUGUCGCAUCAUCGGGUGUAUUGUGUUUUAUUCUUGGAAACACAUUUUAAGAGGACACUAAUAAACUGCAUUAUGCCAAGUAGAAGAUACAAUGGAAAUUCAGGAUGAUAAGGGAUCAGGAAACAAUUUUAUAAAUUAUGCAACAUAUUAAAUAUAACUCCAAGAUUUUACCCUUGUACUCCAACCCCUACUGAUAGUCUAUUGUCAACACUGCAGCAGAGCUCAUCUCUUAAAAAUAUGUCACAAAAUGUCUCUUCUCCUCUUAAAACUCUACAGUAGCUCCACAAAGUCCUUACAAGUGUCUGCAAAGCUGCAUAUAACCCUUCCUCCAUCACCCCUCUUAGCUUGUUGGCUUCUACAAUCUUCCUGUUUGCUCACUCUGCUCGGGUCACUGUGGCUGCUUUGCCGCUUUGCGUAAGGUUGUUCUUUCCACCUGGAACACUCUUCCCCAGUCACACGGCUAAUCUCCCUCAUUCUUUCAAGCCCUUGUUCGAAUAUCACUCCAAAGAAACCUACUCAGGGCACUCUAUGAAACUUGCAAGCCAUCCUUUUUCCUGAAUCCCCAUUCCUUCACCUGGCAUUCGUUUCCACAGGACUUACCGAUAUUUAAAAAUUAUUUAAAUAUUUCACUUAUUGACUAUGGUUGUUGUUAUGUUUGAUUUGUUUGUUUUCAGCUAUCUCUCUUUGCUAAAAUGAAAGCUCCAUAGGCGCAAGGGUCCUCUUUUUGUUCAUGGAUCUGUCCUCUUCUUGAAUUGACUCAAAGUCACGAAAAAAGUGUUUUCACAGUUGUCAGGAUCUUCUUGACAAGAAGCCCACCACAGGCUUAGCCCCUAAAAACUGCCCACUUCAUUUUCUUCUAGUUUUCAUGGGUCAAGAGUCUAGGCAUAGCUUAACUGGGUCUUCUGCUCAGAGCCUCAUAAAGGUGCAGUCAAGUGUCAGCCAGGGAUUGUUCUCAGCAGAUAAAGGCUGCCCUCUAGUUUUGCCACACAGGCCCCCCACAUAAUAUAGCCAUCCUCAAGGCCAGCAGGAA
rnacentral:lncRNA from 1 species